rnacentral:rRNA from 1 species
GAGUUUGAUCAUGGCUCAGAUUGAACGCUGGCGGAAUGCUUUACACAUGCAAGUCGAACGGCAGCAUAGAGAGCUUGCUCUCUGAUGGCGAGUGGCGAACGGGUGAGUAAUAUAUCGGAACGUACCUAGUAAUGGGGAACAACCAGCCGAAAGGUUGGCUAAUACCGCAUACGACCUACGGGUGAAGGCAGGGGAUCUUCGGACCUUGCGUUAUUAGAGCGGCCGAUAUCUGAUUAGGUAGUUGGUGGGGUAAAGGCCUACCAAGCCGACGAUCAGUAGCUGGUCUGAGAGGACGAUCAGCCACACUGGAACUGAGACACGGUCCAGACUCCUACGGGAGGCAGCAGUGGGGAAUUUUGGACAAUGGGGGAAACCCUGAUCCAGCCAUUCCGCGUGAGUGAAGAAGGCCUUCGGGUUGUAAAGCUCUUUCGCAAGAGAAGAAAUCUUACUAUCGAAUAAAUAGUAAGGAUGACGGUAUCUUGACAAGAAGCACCGGCUAACUACGUGCCAGCAGCCGCGGUAAUACGUAGGGUGCGAGCGUUAAUCGGAAUUACUGGGCGUAAAGCGUGCGCAGGCGGUUUUAUAAGUCAGAUGUGAAAUCCCCGAGCUCAACUUGGGAACUGCGUUUGAAACUGUAAGACUAGAGUGUGUCAGAGGGGGGUAGAAUUCCACGUGUAGCAGUGAAAUGCGUAGAGAUGUGGAGGAAUACCAAUGGCGAAAGCAGCCCCCUGGGAUAACACUGACGCUCAUGCACGAAAGCGUGGGGAGCAAACAGAUUAGAUACCCUGGUAGUCCACGCCCUAAACGAUGUCUACUAGUUGUUGGUGGAGUAAAAUCCAUGAGUAACGCAGCUAACGCGUGAAGUAGACCGCCUGGGGAGUACGGUCGCAGAUUAAACUCAAAGGAAUUGACGGGGGCCCGCACAGCGGUGAUUAUGUGGAAUUAAUUCGAUGCCACGCGAAAAACCUUACCUGCCUUGACAUGUUACGAAUUAGCAGAGAUGCUUUAGUGCCCGUAGAGACGUAACUCAGUGCUGCAUGGCCUGUCGUCAGCUCAUGUCCUGGAAUGUGGGUAGUCCGCAACGAGGCAACUUGCAUAAUGCUACAUAGUGGUACCUAAUGGAACUGCGGUGACUACCGAAGAUACGUGGCGGAAUAGAUCGUCUAGAUUC